UCUCGGUGAUGAGAACUUUGUCCAG
rnacentral:piRNA from 1 species